rnacentral:rRNA from 1 species
UACGAAGGGUGCAAGCGUUACUCGGAAUUACUGGGCGUAAAGCGUGCGUAGGUGGUUCGUUAAGUCUGCCGUGAAAGCCCCGGGCUCAACCUGGGAAUGGCGGUGGAUACUGGCGGACUAGAGUGCGGUAGAGGGUGGUGGAAUUCCCGGUGUAGCGGUGAAAUGCGCAGAUAUCGGGAGGAACACCAAUGGCGAAGGCAGCUCGCUGGGACGGUACUGACGCUGAGACGCGAAAGCGUGGGGAGCAAACAGG